AUUGAACGCUGGCGGCAUGCCUUACACAUGCAAGUCGAACGGCAGCACGGGAGCAAUCCUGGUGGCGAGUGGCGAACGGGUGAGUAAUGUAUCGGAACGUACCUUUCAGUGGGGGAUAACGUAGCGAAAGUUACGCUAAUACCGCAUAUUCUGUGAGCAGGAAAGCAGGGGAUCGCAAGACCUUGCGCUGAUUGAGCGGCCGAUAUCAGAUUAGCUAGUUGGUGAGGUAAAGGCUCACCAAGGCGACGAUCUGUAGCGGGUCUGAGAGGAUGAUCCGCCACACUGGAACUGAGACACGGUCCAGACUCCUACGGGAGGCAGCAGUGGGGAAUUUUGGACAAUGGGCGCAAGCCUGAUCCAGCCACGCCGCGUGAGGGAAGAAGGCCUCGGUUG
rnacentral:rRNA from 1 species